GAUAUACCAGAGGAAAUUAAGGUCAGAUCAGUAAAUGUUACGGAUUCUAAGCAAGAAGAGGCUGCACCUCCAUGUACUAAUUCCAGUCAUAAAUAUGACAAAGGAAAUAUUUCACAAGGUG